rnacentral:ncRNA from 1 species
ACAAAGGUCCUUUUAAGGGCCACACACUUCAACAGAGAGUGAUUCU